rnacentral:rRNA from 1 species
UACGGGGGGGGCAAGCGUUGUUCGGAAUUACUGGGCGUAAAGGGCGCGUAGGCGGUUCGCUAAGUUGAAUGUGAAAACUCUGGGCUUAACCCAGAGCCUGCAUCCAAAACUGGCGAACUGGAGUACUGGAGGGGAAAGCGGAAUUCCUGGUGUAGCGGUGAAAUGCGCAGAUAUCAGGAGGAACACCGGUGGCGAAGGCGGUUCUCUGGGCCUGUACUGACGCUGAGGAACGAAAGCGUGGGGAGCGAACAGG